GUUGGGUGCACUGGCGCACACCUGUAAUUCCAGCGACUUGGGAGGCUGAGGUAGGAGGAUUGCAAGUUUGAGGCCAGCCUCAGCAACUUAGCAAGACCCUGUCUCAA
rnacentral:sRNA from 1 species